UUAGCUGCAUAUACAACUUACACUUUUUGUGGCAUAAAUUCGACCAAGACAUAUUCGGCUUGUUUUUUUCCAAUUUUUGGAAAGGGUUUUCGUCUACUGUCGUAUAAUUGAACAAUAACCAAAUGCGUUUUAUGUUUCGGAUAAAUGUGUGUUUGACCGUUGACCAAUAACGAAAGUGUGUUUUCUAGCAACAUAGACGAACAGCCUACCACCAGUUCUGUUGGUAUCAUCUUGUAAUACCUGAGAGCCCUCCGUAGCCACAAAGGAUAAAUAAACAAUUCGGGAAACCGGAAACCGGGCGCUUCAGAGCAAUAUGAAAAUUGUGGAAAAAUACCGGAUUUUUUUCCUACUUUGAUAACUUUUUCUCGAGUGGAGGGUGGAAGAUUGAUAUCGGAGAAGCUUGUGAACCUCAGAUCAACAUGUGUU